ensembl:lncRNA
CGGGUGUCCUCCAUCCGUCUCUACAGAGACAUGGUGCAGGCCGUGGUCUGGUGCCACCGGAGGAGAAUGAAGGGGACGGUGCGCAGGGGCCUGGUCCCACUGCUCUUUCGGAUGAGCGAUGAGAACCAGGACGUGGCCCAGGCUGCCGGGAGAGCCGUUGUACAAACGGCCAAUCUCCUGUCCUGGAACGACCUCCGGGAGCUGGCUGAGAAACAGGAGACGUGGAGGAUCGCGGAGUGCUUGCUGCAGCGGGACCAGAGCAGGGCAGAGGAAUACCUGCAGCAGAGCCAGCCCUACCUGCAGGACCCUCAGGGGGCCUUGCGAGAGGAGG